AAAAUGUAGUGGAGAAGUUGGUGGAGUGGAAGAGUAGGUGUAGUGGUGGGGAAGCAAAUGGUGGUAAAUUCAACCUUGUAAAAUACUAUACAAUUUUCCCCAAGCUGGGAAGUAGACUGUAUUCGUGAACUGUAAUAAAAUACUGGCUUCUAUUCUCUAUCAUCCGUUAUUGUAUCUGUUUGAUAUCUUUUUCCUUGCCUGCUAACUUGAUAAACUAUAAUAUAACUUAAAUUAAAUCCGUAGAUUUAAUCUGCUUUGCUGUCGGAA
rnacentral:lncRNA from 1 species